rnacentral:rRNA from 1 species
UUAGAGUUUGAUCCUGGCUCAGGAUUAACGCUAGCGGCAGGCAUAAUACAUGCAAGUUGAACGAGAUUAGUUUUAGCAAUAGAACUUUUUUAGUGGCGCACGGGUGCGUAACGCGUAUGCAACCUACCUUAAACAGGGGAAUAGCCUCUCGAAAGAGAGAUUAAUACCGCAUAAUAUAUAUUUAGAGCAUUCUAGAUAUAUUAAACCUACGGGGGUUUAAGAUGGGCAUGCGUGACAUUAGCUAGUUGGUGAGGUAAUGGCUCACCAAGGCAACGAUGUCUAGGGGGUCUGAGAGGAUGUCCCCCCACACUGGUACUGAGACACGGACCAGACUCCUACGGGAGGCAGCAGUAGGGAAUAUUGGUCAAUGGAGGCAACUCUGAACCAGCCAUGCCGCGUGCAGGACUAAGGCCCUAUGGGUCGUAAACUGCUUUUGAACGGGAAGAAAUGUAUCUACGUGUAGAUAUUUGACGGUACCGUUAGAAUAAGGAUCGGCUAACUUCGUGCCAGCAGCCGCGGUAAUACGAAGGAUCCAAGCGUUGUCCGGAUUUACUGGGUUUAAAGGGUGCGUAGGCGGACUUAUAAGUCAGUGGUGAAAGCCUUCAGCUUAACUGAAGAACUGCCAUUGAAACUGUAAGUCUCGAGUUCGGUUGAGGUCAUUGGAAUGUAACAUGUAGCGGUGAAAUGCAUAGAUAUGUUACAGAACACCAAUUGCGAAGGCAGAUGACUAAACCGAAACUGACGCUGAGGCACGAAAGCGUGGGGAUCAAACAGGAUUAGAUACCCUGGUAGUCCACGCCCUAAACGUUGAAUACUCGACCUUAGCGAUAUACAGUUAGGGUCCAAGCGAAAGCGUUAAGUAUUCCACCUGGGAAGUACGUUCGCAAGAUGAAACUCAAAGGAAUUGACGGGGGCCCGCACA